CUUUGUUCCCCAUACUUUUUGAAGCAGCAGCAGAAGUAACAUUUUUAACGAAAUUAGCUGGGUUGGCAUUAAUAAACAGUGAAUCAGCAAUAUUAUGGGAAAGGGAAUGAAGAAAAGAUUGACUCAACCUUUCAGAGUUUCGCUCUUGUCACCCAGGCUGUAGUGCAGUGGCGCAAUCUUGGCUCACUGCAACCUCCACCUCCCGGGUUCAAGCAGUUCUCCUCCUCAGCCUCCCGAGUAGCUGGGAUUACAGUUUCAGCAAUUCUGGGAAGCCAAGGACACCUCCAUAUCCUCCUCCGUGCUCUGCAACUCAACUGAGAACAGCUUUCUCAUUGGAAUGUCUUAUGUUUAAGGAAUAAGAGUCCCUGUUUCAGGUUUGAGUGCUCAGGUGCACCUACUGGAUCCAGCCCAGGACUGGAGAUACUUUCCAGAACACAACAUCACCUGAGACAUGACCAGUUCACACUGUUUUACUUUCACAAUUUCAGCUUCCUCGGAAGAAUAUUAAAAUUGCUAAGACUUUUUCAUAAAUAUUGUGCCAUGUCCUUCCUCUGUGCCCUUGCCUGUUCAUUUGUGUCAGACUAGGUGCACUUAUUUCUAAUGAGAUCAGAAUUCUGCCUCCAGUAACACAUCAAAGAUGACCUAUGAUUGUACUUUUGGUUUUUGCUCCCACAUGUAAAUUAUAAAAUUCAUCACCCCCAUUUUUAUGUCAAGAAACAUCUGCACAAUCUGAAUGUCAAUACCUUUUGGAAUCUAUUAAAUAACUGAAAUUGCAAGAAAAAUUACCCACUCCCAAAACUGGAGAGACAGACAUGUCCAGAAUCGCAGUUGACACUUGCUUAAAUGGAACAUAAACUGCAGAAGACACAAGUUGUUGAGGGCACUUACAUGCUAAGCACUAUAGAUGUCUGAACCACAGAUGUGGACUAGGUAAAGGUGGCAGUUUCAGAGAGACUUAUACUUCUCAAUUUUCUGGACUUUCUCUCCAGAAACCCCCAGACUCUACAAAAUGCAAUCCAAAUACAUUUCCUAUGGCUAAGAACUGGAGAAGAUUAAUUACUGAGAAACACAUCAGGAGCUUUCCCCAAAAGCUUCUACAGGGAAGGACUUUUCCAGAACCUUAUCCUAUGUGAGAAAAAACAAAACAAAACAAAAAACAAACAAACAAAAAUAACUUCCAUUCCAGAUUUCAGAUUUCUACACCAUUCUUCCAUUAUUAUAUGAAUGAGUAAAGUUAGCCAGUAGGGGUAAGAUGUAAUUAAAUAGUUCAAGGACUCUGGAACCAUAAAAGGGAGUAACGGCCCCAAAUGAGGUUUUCCCCUGGAGACGCCUGGUAAAGGUCCCAGCCCAAGGGAGGAAGCCGAUUGAGUUUCUAGGUUUCCAUUGUAAGAACAGACAGUGCUUACUUGCACUGUACAAUACAUUCUAACCAGUAUGAUGUCUCUGGAUUAAAGAUGAAAGUGUGACAAUGCACAGACUCUACCUGAGGAGGAAAACAUAGGGGAACAGAAAGACAAUGGCAGAGAAUAAGAAAAGGACAAUAGAGCAAUCUGAAGCCCCUGACAUCAACAUUUUUAAGACCAAGGUCUUGGAAACUUCUUCAUUGACCUUAGGUUCUUUUGUCAUGGGGCCUUUUCUGGGUUCCUAGCUGAGAAAAGGAAAAUAACAACCUGCAUGCACUUCCCAAGUCUUCACUUGUCACCUGUUUGCUUUAGAUCUCUAGGAGAAAGAAGUCAGGUACCUGGGCCUAGUGUCAGUGUAGGAGGCACUUUCUAUAGGCUAGAUACUAGGAAGAAGGGAAAAUAUGUGUUAUUGGAAUAGAAGACAUGGACUGGGCUUUAAUCUGAAUGUAUCUGCACCUGCUGGUAUUCUCAGAUGUGACAUUCAACUGCAAGAGAUUAAUGAAGAAACAAGGAACUCCCAAAACUCCUGCAAGUUUUUGGAUUCAUAUUGGGUCCACCACUGAUUCAGUGCAUCUGGAGCUUCAGAGAAGGGGCUCCCUCCUGUGUCCGAAUCCUUGCUUUGGGUCUUCCUGCAGAGAUCAGUAGGUUUAGUAAAGCUGAUAAUUUUUUCAAAGAUGGUGUCAGCAGCGUAUGGUGUCACCAAAGGAGUAUUCUAAAGCAGGACGCAGCCAUUUCAUGCUGGGCUAGAGAAGCUGGGGAAAAAUGCUUUGUGAGCCCUGACAGGAACCUCCUUGCAAGGCAAGGGCUGGGCUACAGGGAGCACUCAGAAGCCACCCAUUAUGGGUUCCAGCCCCAGAGCAGGUGCACAGGAGGCUGGGGAGGAGGUUUCCUCUCAGGGGCUGGGUCUUCCUUUGUCAGAAAAAAGCCAAAAUAUGUGUUCGAGUUGCUGAUGUGCCCUUAGAUACACUAUUAUAUCUGAACCAUUCAUAUAAAUGAAGGCAAUGAGAACUAUUUUUUGAAGUGGGAUUCUAGGAUUAUAAAUACCUUAAUAGUGAGAAUAUGAAGGAUAGGGAUGUUUUUACUAAUUCAAUUGAUAAAAAAUUGUGGGAGCCACUAUGUUUCUAUGAAUAAGAAAUUCAGAUUUCAUUGUUAAGUAAUGUUGUCUACAUUUUGUAUGUGACAGGGCAGUGGUGGAUAUGAGAGUGUGGCAUGUACACAGACCAAGUGAGUCAGAAAUCAAUAUGUAAAGAUAAGGAUCUAUGGAUAUGAACUGAAAGUAUGUAACUACUUCACAAAAUGCUAAUAAAUGCAGUUCGAAAUAAACCCC
rnacentral:lncRNA from 10 species